rnacentral:lncRNA from 1 species
GAAGAUUUCAUGAUUUAAAGUAGAGUUUGAUAAAUUUCUGAUUUAUUAGUGAAUUUUCUGAUUUUAUAUGAUAAUGGUUGGUUGGCCAUAGCAUGAUAGCUUGAUAUGGUGUCAAAUGGAGCCUUUGUGUGUUAAUUGUGGUUGUUUGCGAAAAAUUUCAGAUUUGUGCGGAAAAUUUCUGUUUUAGGGUUUCAAAUUUGGGGCUUUCUUAUGAUUGGUUAUUGAGCUCUUAAUUGGUUAAGAUUUAAGGGUGUUGUGGCCCUAAUUAGGUGUGUUUUAUAGCUUAUGAUUUGUAUGUGAAUAUGUGGUUGAAUUGAGAUGGUAUUGGUGUUGCUUAUAG